ensembl:lncRNA
AACACGUUGGCAUCUUGUUCUCAGCUACCGGGACCAUGAGAAAGGAUAUUUGGUUGUUUAUAGAUCACGCAGCCUCAGGCAUCUAAAACUUCGUGAAAACCCAUUAUUCCUACGAGAGGAAGGCUCCAGAAAAGAGCACAGAGAAGGGCUGUUAGGUAGCUUAGACGAACACCUAGGAGGCCCCACUCACCCCUGCAAUGAAAUGUGGGUCAUCAGUCUUCCAGCAAGGAUCCACAGUGUGAAACUGUUUACACACAGACGUCAGGAAACCAUUCAAAAGCAACAGAGAAAACCAAUUCCGAGAAGUAAAGCUGACAAAACUACUAGCAUUUGAGAGGGUAUGUGGCCAAGGAGCCAAGGACCUACAACAGGUUUCAAAGAUGGCAGCCGAUGCCCUUCACAGGGAAAGGGCACAUCCUGCUCUGUGUGGAGUCUGAAUGGCUAUUUAUGACACAGAACUGAGAGUGAGAUUCAAGCUCUGGCAGCAGCAUGUCUAGGAGACAGCAAAUGAGGAGCCACGCUGAGAAUCCGUCUGUCUCUAGGGCACUCUGGCUGCCACGGGGAAACACUCGUCAAAGAAGGGGAAUGGCCAAGAGAGAAGUAAAAGUCAGCAAAUGCAAUGAGUCUGGUCAUGAAGAAAAUUCCAGCCAGACCACAAUAUAUUCUCCCUGGCACUGAGCUAGCUGAUGGCAGAGAGCCAACCACCCUUGAGGAAAAGGAAUCGUAGGAAAGAUGAAGGACGUUCCCUGACAGAGGUGAACCUUUUGCUUUGUUACUUCAGUUGUCUCUGAGUUAAACCUGCUCUUUCCCAUGGGCAACAAUGUUUCACAGCAGUGGCGGAUGACCCUGGCUGGCCCUUAGAGCAAUUAGGAGACUUUAAAGAACAGGACUUCAUCAAUACCAAACAACAGAAUGUCUGGCGGAAUGGCAGGGUUCUAUUUUUGUGAAGAGACACCAUGACCAUGGCAACUCUUACAACGGCAAACAUUUGAUUGGGGUGGCUUGCAG